GGGACGGGACGCCUUAAAGGGACCGCAGAGAAGCCGCGAAGGGCUUGUUGCUUUGCCACACACUUUUGCUGAAAGACGUGCUUUUAAAAACAACGCCCCACCCCACGUGCAAAUAAUAAGCCUUGCUGGGGAGCAGCAAAACAAUCCCUUGAUCAUAGCAGGGUCCCAGACUAGAAUAGAUGUGUACAGCUCUGGGGACUCUGCUUCUGGUGUCCAUGCAUGCAAACUUCUGAGUUAUACAGAACCCUUGAUACACCAAGAGACACUCUUGUGAAAGCUGCGGUCAGCCAACAUGGCUUGGACAACCAACCCAACGCAACCGAACUUCUUGGAGCUCUUUAUCAUAUCGUGAGAGAUUUGGGUUGGGUUUUUUUGGAAGGUGGGGUGAAGGAAAAAUGGAGACAGAUUUGUGUUUCUAAUCCAAAUGUACUUCUCUUUAUUCAAACCAGGGGAAAUCACUGGUCAGUGCGAAAUGCACCCCAAAAAUGUUUUUUGCCUGAGGGAAAUCUACAUCUUCGCAAGGCCUCCAUUAAACCCCUAAUGAAAUCCAGAUCCCAAAAAGAUUUUUAAUUUUUAAAGAAUCUCUAGCCCAGAUUUGAAGGCUGUGCUUCGAAAGAGACCCUGGGCACCACUGAAACCAUUCUACACCCCUUCCAUUAUCAGCUUGGAAACCAAUAACAAAAAGACCCAAAUGUACUUCUCUAAUCCAAAUGUACUUCUCUUUAUUCAAACCAGGGGAAAUCACUGGUCAGUGCGAAAUGCACCCAAAAAAUGUUUUUUGCCUGAGGGAAAUCUACAUCUUCGCAAGGCCUCCAUUAAACCCCUAAUGAAAUCCAGAUCCCAAAAAGAUUUUUAAUUUUUAAAGAAUCUCUAGCCCAGAUUUGAAGGCUGUGCUUCGAAAGAGACCCUGGGCACCACUGAAACCAUUCUACACCCCUUCCAUUAUCAGCUUGGAAACCAAUAACAAAAAGACCCACGCACACAGUAGAUUCCUUUCCCCACCCACCCUCUCUUUUUUUAAACUCCCAGAGUUUCUGGACCAACCACAACAAAGGAGGUUGGAAGCUGACCCUCUUCUAUGCACUGCUAACAGAAACCCUGGGUUGGUUUUUUUUUUUUUCCUUUUUAAAUUAAAAAAUAAGCGAGCAUACAUAGUAGAAAAUUUCUCUUAAAAAU